rnacentral:rRNA from 1 species
GACGAACGCUGGCGGCGUGCCUAAUACAUGCAAGUCGAGCGAGUCUGCCUUGAAGAUCGGAGUGCUUGAACUCUGUGAAACAAGAUACAGGCUAGCGGCGGACGGGUGAGUAACACGUGGGUAACCUGCCCAAGAGAUCGGGAUAACACCUGGAAACAGAUGCUAAUACCGGAUAACAACAGAUGAUGCCUAUCAACUGUUUAAAAGAUGGUUCUGCUAUCACUCUUGGAUGGACCUGCGGUGCAUUAGCUAGUUGGUAGGGCAACGGCCUACCAAGGCGAUGAUGCAUAGCCGAGUUGAGGGGCUGAUCGGCCACAUUGGGACUGAGACACGGCCCAAACUCCUACGGGAGGCCGCAGUAGGGAAUCUUCCACAAUGGACGCAAGUCUGAUGGAGCAACGCCGCGUGAGUGAAGAAGGGUUUCGGCUCGUAGAGCUCUGUUGUUGGUGAAGAAGGACAGCGUUAGUAACUGACCAUUGUUUGACGGUAAUCAAUGAGAAAGUCCCGGCUAACUACGUG